rnacentral:rRNA from 1 species
ACACCGGCGGCCCGAGUGGUGAUCGUGAUUAUUGGGUCUAAAGGGUCCGUAGCCGGUUUGGUCAGCCCUCCGGGAAAUCUGAUAGCUCAACUAUUAGGCUUUCGGGGGAUACUGCCAGACUUGGAACCGGGAGAGGUAAGAGGUACUACAGGGGUAGGAGUGAAAUCUUGUAAUCCCUGUGGGACCACCUGUGGCGAAGGCGUCUUACCAGAACGGGUUCGACGGUGAGGGACGAAAGCUGGGGGCACGAACCGGAUUAGAUACCCGGGUAGUCCCAGCCGUAAACGAUGCUCGCUAGGUGUCAGGCAUGGCGCGACCGUGUCUGGUGCCGCAGGGAAGCCGUGAAGCGAGCCACCUGGGAAGUACGGCCGCAAGGCUGAAACUUAAAGGAAUUGGCGGGG